GGCGUAAGCCAGGUCGGUUUCUAUCUUUAAUAAUAUAAAAUAUUUUAGUACGAAAGGACCAAAUAUUUAAUAUAUUUAUAUUUUAUUAAUUGAAUAUCAUUAAAAUU
rnacentral:rRNA from 1 species